rnacentral:rRNA from 1 species
GUGGGGAAUAUUGCGCAAUGGGGGAAACCCUGACGCAGCGACGCCGUGUGAGUGAUGAAGGCCUUCGGGUCGUAAAGCUCUGUUAGGAGGGAAGAAAAGUGCAUGGCUAAUACCUAUGCAACUUGACGGUACCUUCGGAGGAAGCACCGGCAAACUCCGUGCCAGCAGCCGCGGUAAUACGGAGGGUGCAAGCGUUGUUCGGAAUUACUGGGCGUAAAGAGCGUGUAGGCGGCCAGUCAAGUCAGAUGUGAAAUCCCUGAGCUUAACUCAGGAACUGCAUCUGAAACUGAUUGGCUCGAGUACAGGAGAGGAAGGUGGAAUUCCUGGUGUAGAGGUGAAAUUCGUAGAUAUCGGGAAGAACACCGGUGGCGAAGGCGGCCUUCUGGCCUGAUACUGACGCUGAGACGCGAAAGCGUGGGGAGCAAACAGGAUUAGAAACCCUUGUAGUCC